rnacentral:rRNA from 1 species
UACGUAGGGGGCAAGCGUUGUCCGGAAUCACUGGGCGUAAAGCGCACGUAGGCGGAUUGUUAAGUCAGGGGGUGAAAUCCUGGAGCUCAACUCCAGAACUGCCUUUGAUACUGGCGAUCUCGAGUCCGGGAGAGGUGAGUGGAACUGCGAGUGUAGAGGUGAAAUUCGUAGAUAUUCGCAAGAACACCAGUGGCGAAGGCGGCUCACUGGCCCGGUACUGACGCUGAGGUGCGAAAGCGUGGGGAGCAAACAGG